rnacentral:piRNA from 1 species
UACUAUUUAGAAGGGUCCAUUUGAAAC